UUAAAUUGAAGAGUUUGAUCAUGGCUCAGAUUGAACGCUGGCGGCAGGCCUAACACAUGCAAGUCGAACGGUAACAGGAAGCGCUUGCUGCUUCGCUGACGAGUGGCGGACGGGUGAGUAAUGUCUGGGAAACUGCCUGAUGGAGGGGGAUAACUACUGGAAACGGUAGCUAAUACCGCAUAACGUCGCAAGACCAAAGAGGGGGACCUUCGGGCCUCUUGCCAUCGGAUGUGCCCAGAUGGGAUUAGCUUGUUGGUGGGGUAACGGCUCACCAAGGCGACGAUCCCUAGCUGGUCUGAGAGGAUGACCAGCCACACUGGAACUGAGACACGGUCCAGACUCCUACGGGAGGCAGCAGUGGGGAAUAUUGCACAAUGGGCGCAAGCCUGAUGCAGCCAUGCCGCGUGUAUGAAGAAGGCCUUCGGGUUGUAAAGUACUUUCAGCGGGGAGGAAGGGAGUAAAGUUAAUACCUUUGCUCAUUGACGUUACCCGCAGAAGAAGCACCGGCUAACUCCGUGCCAGCAGCCGCGGUAAUACGGAGGGUGCAAGCGUUAAUCGGAAUUACUGGGCGUAAAGCGCACGCAGGCGGUUUGUUAAGUCAGAUGUGAAAUCCCCGGGCUCAACCUGGGAACUGCAUCUGAUACUGGCAAGCUUGAGUCUCGUAGAGGGGGGUAGAAUUCCAGGUGUAGCGGUGAAAUGCGUAGAGAUUUGGAGGAAUACCGGUGGCGAAGGCGGCCCCCUGGACGAAGACUGACGCUCAGGUGCGAAAGCGUGGGGAGCAAACAGGAUUAGAUACCCUGGUAGUCCACGCCGUAAACGAUGUCGACUUGGAGGUUGUGCCCUUGAGGCGUGGCUUCCGGAGCUAACGCGUUAAGUCGACCGCCUGGGGAGUACGGCCGCAAGGUUAAAACUCAAAUGAAUUGACGGGGGCCCGCACAAGCGGUGGAGCAUGUGGUUUAAUUCGAUGCAACGCGAAGAACCUUACCUGGUCUUGACAUCCACGGAAGUUUUCAGAGAUGAGAAUGUGCCUUCGGGAACCGUGAGACAGGUGCUGCAUGGCUGUCGUCAGCUCGUGUUGUGAAAUGUUGGGUUAAGUCCCGCAACGAGCGCAACCCUUAUCCUUUGUUGCCAGCGGUCCGGCCGGGAACUCAAAGGAGACUGCCAGUGAUAAACUGGAGGAAGGUGGGGAUGACGUCAAGUCAUCAUGGCCCUUACGACCAGGGCUACACACGUGCUACAAUGGCGCAUACAAAGAGAAGCGACCUCGCGAGAGCAAGCGGACCUCAUAAAGUGCGUCGUAGUCCGGAUUGGAGUCUGCAACUCGACUCCAUGAAGUCGGAAUCGCUAGUAAUCGUGGAUCAGAAUGCCACGGUGAAUACGUUCCCGGGCCUUGUACACACCGCCCGUCACACCAUGGGAGUGGGUUGCAAAAGAAGUAGGUAGCUUAACCUUCGGGAGGGCGCUUACCACUUUGUGAUUCAUGACUGGGGUGAAGUCGUAACAAGGUAACCGUAGGGGAACCUGCGGUUGGAUCACCUCCUUACCUUAAAGAAGC
rnacentral:rRNA from 1 species